rnacentral:lncRNA from 1 species
GGCAACCACUCCCAACUGAGCUGGUCACUGGGCUGGAGUGCCUGUGCCCCUGGGAUAAAGCUGUCCUCCUCAGGGCGACUCACGGGAGGGUUGCGGCACCCAGAACAUCCCUGCCUGGGACUGGGCUGGUUGGCGACACCACUACUCAUCCAUCUGAACCCCCCCCAGUUCCACACUGGAGCAUGGAGAUGGUCUUUACUCCAGAGAGCUGCUCCCUUCCACCCCACACCUGGAGCCAGGUGCACCUCAGCUGCACGUUCUCUGGGUGGCCCCAAGAAGGCACCAGCAUUUCCUUGGAGAGCAUCCAUUCAGGCCCAUUUGUCUCCAAAGCCCCCACUGGCCACACCAAACUGCUCUGGGCUCACCAGUAGCCUGUGGAGAACAAGCCCUGGCCGUUCUGUGGCUCUGGCCGGGCUCACACCAUCCAGGAUGAUGUUGGUGGCAUCACCGUGGGCCCAUUCAUGGGCACAUUGGAAUCCUUGCUCCUCUCUCCAGAGCCUCCUUCACAUCCCUCAGUCUGAGACCAACCUCUGGGUGCACAUCCAGAGCAUGGGAGCAUGGGAAGAGCUUUCCCCCUCCAUCACCACUGUUAGGAGUUGCCUGAUCCAGCAGCCUGAGAGAGAGGAGGCUGCUACAGCUCCAAGCCCAGGCCCAAGCAGUUGUGGAGCCCACAGAAGACAGGAGGGGUCACACACAGACACAGCCAGUCACACAGAUCUGGACAGGCACACAGGGCCUCCCACAAAUAGCACCAACAGGAUGUGCCUCUUAUUGUGUCCCUGCAAGCACAUUUGAGCUUAAAUAUCAAAAGCUUUAAUGAACAAUGUACUGUCAGAUUCCUACCACCAUAAAUGGUUCUACUGGGGGUAUGGAAAGAUGUGGCUGGAGACAAUUCUUCAUAUCCACUUAAGCAGUUCUGAAGAACUCCCCCGUGAUCUGAGCUUCACCCCCAGCUACAGCUACACCUCCCUCUACUGCCCAAAGGCGACUCCUCAGCAACUGCAUUGCCUAGGAGACAAGGCUGCUGCUCGUCUUAUCUCAUUAGCAAGUGAAAUGUCACCGUCUGACAGGAAACACUAACCCCAGCAUUCCUGAUCCCAGCCAGUUUAGCCCUUUCCACCAUAGGAUGCUGUCACCUUAGAAUCACAGAAUAUGCUGACUGGAAGGGACCCAUCAGGAUCAUUGAGGCAAACCCCUGGCUGCAGUGCAAAUAUGUGAAACAGUAGGUUCUUUUUUUGGCCCUGAAGGAAACCAUUGUUACAUAAUAUUUCUCUUUCAGUCAUCUACCUUCCCCAGCUUAAUUCUGCAGCCUCAGGUCACUGGCUAGAGCAGAAGUAUGUCCAUACUACAGAAAACCAGGGAAGGAUAAAGAAAUACAAGCUGUUUCCAAACCAUGCA